CACGCCGUAAACGUUGAGAACUAAGUGUUGGGGAGACCCAGUGCUGAAGCUAACGCAUUAAGUUCUCCGCCUGAGGAGUACGCACGCAAGUGUAAAACUUAAAGGAAUUGACGGGGGCCCGCACAAGCAGUGGAGCAUGUGGUUUAAUUCGAUGCAACGCGAAGAACCUUACCAGGACUUGACAUCCCUCGGACCGAAUUAGAGAUAAUUCUUUCCCUUCGGGGACUGAGGAGACAGGUGG
rnacentral:rRNA from 1 species